UUUCCGUAGGUGAACCUGCGGAAGGAUCAUUAACUAAAUGUAUCGGCACUUUACUGGGAGAGGGGGGGAUUCAUCCUCUCCUCCUGGUAUUGUUUGCUCCUAUACUGUGAAUCUCUGGCGAUGAAGGUUUCGGUUGUUGUUAUGAAUGAUGACUGAACCUUUGGGAGAGACUCAGGACAUAUAGGCUAUAAUGGGUAGGCCUGUUCUGGGGUUUGAUCGAUGCCAAUCAGGUGUGCCUUGUGUACACCUGGUACCCUUUGCCAUAUACUAUGAAUUCAGGAAUUUAAAAAGUUUAAAAAAAAAAAAACAACUUUUAACAAUGGAUCUCUUGGUUCUC
rnacentral:misc_RNA from 1 species